GGAGACUAUGCGCAGGCACGGUGCACUGCGCGCGGGCACCAGGGCGGUUUUUCGACGCUGGCGGUGGACGCAGGCAGCAUGGACCACGGUUGCUGGGCGGAUGGGGUGCGUCUGUGGUCAGUUGCCUUAGAAAUGGUGAGAUGGGAAGCUGCACUUGGAAGACCCUGGAGGAUGCCUGACAAGGGGAUGUCUGACACAUGAUGAAGUUGGAGCUCUUUUUGAAAUGUUUCUUGCCCUUCCUGGAGCAGAGGAGCCAUUAUUUAUGCAGAUUCCUAAACUUGGAGCUGAAGAAGUGAGCAACUUGGAAACACCAAUGGGUUCAGACAAAAGAGCCCCAACAAGAAACUAGAUUUUCUGGCCAAAAGACCAGGAAAUGGGCAACUCAACAAGACAGAAAACUUUUAGACAAUAGCUUCUGCAUUCUAGGCAAACACCGUAGAAAAAACUAUGGCCCUAUCCCAACUCCACAGCGAAGACUGAGUAGAGAGCCUAGAUGUCUACUGUUACCAAGCUGUAAAGAAGUGUCCCAAAGCACCCCUCCACCAGGGUGGUGUCAGAGAAGGCUGAAUAAAGAGCAGAGACUCACCUCUGACCCCUGUGGUAUCAGUGGAGACCCCUUGGGGAGUCUGGAUUUCUUCUCUGACCCAGUAGAUAAGGGGGCAACUUUCCACUUAACUUCUGGGGUGGCAUCAGAGGAGGCCUGGUGAAAUUUCAUGACUUUUAUUAUCUCACAGUGGUAAUAAGGCCACCUCCACUGCAGUGUCAGUGGAGACUAAAACAGAAAGGAAUUUUCCUGUAGUCUUCAUUAUUAGAACCUGGUGCGCGCCUGGAGAUAUGACUCAUGAAAGUGUGCCCCACCCAACAAAACAAAACAAAACAAAAUUGGGCCCUCAGGAGUGUUUAAAUAUUCUGCUAGUCCCUAUUCAUCAUUCAGGAAGACAUCAGUUAACAU